rnacentral:rRNA from 1 species
CCUACGGGAGGCAGCAGUGAGAAAUAUUGGUCAAUGGGCGGAAGCCUGAACCAGCCAAGUCGCGUGAGGGAUUAAGGCCCUGCGGGUCGUAAACCUCUUUUGCCGGGGAGCAGAGGUCCGGACGUGUCCGGGCCGGGAGAGUACCCGGAGAAAAAGCAUCGGCUAACUCCGUGCCAGCAGCCGCGGUAAUACGGAGGAUGCGAGCGUUAUCUGGAUUUAUUGGGUUUAAAGGGUGCGUAGGCGGGCAUUUAAGCCGGCGGUCAAAUGUCGGGGCUCAACCCCGGCCUGCCGUCGGAACUGGGUGCCUUGAGUGGGCGAGAAGUAUGCGGAAUGCGUGGUGUAGCGGUGAAAUGCAUAGAUAUCACGCAGAACCCCGAUUGCGAAGGCAGCAUACCGGCGCCCUACUGACGCUGAGGCACGAAAGUGCGGGUAUCGAACAGGAUUAGAUACCCUUGUGUC